rnacentral:rRNA from 1 species
AUUGAACGCUGGCGGCAUGCCUUACACAUGCAGGUCGAACGGCAGCACGGGUGCUUGCACCUGGUGGCGAGUGGCGAACGGGUGAGUAAUACAUCGGAACAUGUCCUGUAGUGGGGGAUAGCCCGGCGAAAGCCGGAUUAAUACCGCAUACGAUCUACGGAUGAAAGCGGGGGACCUUCGGGCCUCGCGCUAUAGGGUUGGCCGAUGGCUGAUUAGCUAGUUGGUGGGGUAAAGGCCUACCAAGGCGACGAUCAGUAGCUGGUCUGAGAGGGCGACCAGCCACACUGGGACUGAGACACGGCCCAGACUCCUACGGGAGGCAGCAGUGGGGAAUUUUGGACAAUGGGCGAAAGCCUGAUCCAGCAAUGCCGCGUGUGUGAAGAAGGCCUUCGGGUUGUAAAGCACUUUUGUCCGGAAAGAAAUCCUUGGCCCUAAUACGGUCGGGGGAUGACGGUACCGGAAGAAUAAGCACCGGCUAACUACGUG